UCAGAUCAGUGUGGUACAGAUGUGACGUUCACGAACCAUGGUUCUUGUAAAUGAUAACAAUCGACUUGCGAGUGUGAGCCGUUAGUAGGGGAGCAGGUUUUAUGCACAUGCCGAAACAAUGUAACCGGACUGCAAACUGGACUAAAGGGUUCUGAUGUAGUUCAAUCAGAGGUACAGGCUGUGUUCACACAGGAACACGUGGCCCUUGGCAAAGGCCUAGUACCUGACUGCCCCCUAGCCAGGGAUACGGUAAAGACCUCAACGGCGGAGCAGGCGGAAGAUGGUAGAUUUAAGAACUACCACAACGGCUGCGAUGGCGGAGGAAGGCUGCAGCAGUAAAGGGUCCCCAGUCGUCUUGGACUGCAUUCCACUGGACCCUGACCCGAUUCUG